rnacentral:rRNA from 1 species
UCUGCAAGUCUCCGGUUAAAUCCACCUGCUCAACAGAUGGGCCGCUGGAGAUACUACAGAGCUAGGGAGUGGGAGAGGCAGACGGUAUUCGGGGGGUAGGGGUAAAAUCCUCUGAUCCUCUGAGGACCACCAGUGGCGAAGGCGGUCUGCCAGAACACGUUCGACGGUGAGGGAUGAAAGCUGGGGGAGCAAACCGGAUUAGAUACCCGGGUAGUCCCAGCUGUAAACGAUGCAAACUCGGUGAAGCGUUGGUUUUUUGCCAACGCUGUGCUGCAGGGAAGCCGUUAAGUUUGCCGCCUGGGAAGUACGGACGCAAGUCUGAAACUU